rnacentral:rRNA from 1 species
GGUAAUUUUCCGCAAUGGGCGCAAGCCUGACGGAGCAAUACCGCGUGAGGGAGGAAGGCUCUUGGGUCGUAAACCUCUUUUAUCAGGGAAGAACACAAUGACGGUACCUGAUGAAUCAGCAUCGGCUAACUCUGUGCCAGCAGCCGCGGUAAUACAGAGGAUGCAAGCGUUAUCCGGAAUUAUUGGGCGUAAAGCGUCCGCAGGUGGUUUUGGUAGUCUGCUGUCAAAGCGCGAGGCUCAACUUCGUAUCGGCGGUGGAAACUCCAAGACUAGAGCUAGGUAGGGGUCACGGGAAUUCCCAGUGUAGCGGUGAAAUGCGUAGAUAUUGGGAAGAACACCAGCGGCGAAAGCGCGUGACUGGGCCUGAGCUGACACUCACGGACGAAAGCUAGGGGAGCGAAAGGGAUUAGAUACCCCUGUAGUCCUAGCCGUAAACGAUGACAACUAGGUGUUGCCCGUAUCGACCCGGGCAGUGCCGUAGCCAACGCGUUAAGUUGUCC